rnacentral:rRNA from 1 species
UACAGAGGAUGCAAGCGUUACGUCCGGAAUGAUUGGGCGUAAAGCGUCUGUAGGUGGCGUUUUAAGUCCGCCGUCAAUCCCGAGGGCUCAACUCGGACAUGGACGGUGGAAACUACCAAGCUGGGAGUACGGUAGGGGCAGGAGGAAUUUCCGGUGGAGGCGGUGAAAGUGCGUAGAGUAGUCGGAAAGAACACCAACGGCGAAAGCACUCUGCUGGCCGAGCACGUGACACUGAGAGACGAAGCUAGGGAGCGAAUGGAUAGAUACCCGAGUAA